GGUUCCUUACCCAAAAUACAUGGUGCACAUUGACACCAAUCACAAGCUCAUCAGAUGAUGUACCUCAAGGUAGCAGACAACAACUGAUCUGAUACACACCUGGCAUUCUUCAAUGAAGCUGUGAAUGAGCAUGGGUUUCCUCUGAGAGUGAGAGGAGAUCACGGAGGAGAAAA